GAUGAACGCUAGCGGCAGGCCUAAUACAUGCAAGACGAACGGUAAGUUGAGUAGCAAUACUUAGCCAAGAGUGUCGUACGGGUGCGUAACACGUAUGCAACCCUACCCUAUACAGGAGGAUAGCCUAGGGAAACCUGGAUUAACCCUUCAUAGUAUUAUUGGAUGGCAUCAUUUGAUAAUUAAAACUGAGGUGGUAUAGGAUGGGCAUGCGUCUGAUUAGUUAGUUGGCGGGGUAAUGGCCCACCAAGACGAUGAUCAGUAGGGGUUCUGAGAGGAAGAUCCCCCACACUGGCACUGAGAUACGGCCCAGACUCCUACGGGAGCAGCAGUGGGGAAUAUUGCGCAAUGGGCGAAAGCCUGACGCAGCGACGCCGCGUGGGGUGAUGAAGGCC
rnacentral:rRNA from 1 species